GACGAACGCUGGCGGCGUGCCUAAUACAUGCAAGUUGAGCGCUGAAGGUUGGUACUUGUACCGACUGGAUGAGCAGCGAACGGGUGAGUAACACGUGGGGAAUCUGCCUUUGAGCGGGGGACAACAUUUGGAAACGAAUGCUAAUACCGCAUAAAAACUUUAAACACAAGUUUUAAGUUUGAAAGAUGCAAUUGCAUCACUCAAAGAUGAUCCCGCGUUGUAUUAGCUAGUUGGUGAGGUAAAGGCUCACCAAGGCGAUGAUACAUAGCCGACCUGAGAGGGUGAUCGGCCACAUUGGGACUGAGACACGGCCCAAACUCCUACGGGAGGCAGCAGUAGGGAAUCUUCGGCAAUGGACGAAAGUCUGACCGAGCAACGCCGCGUGAGUGAAGAAGGUUUUCGGAUCGUAAAACUCUGUUGGUAGAGAAGAACGUUGGUGAGAGUGGAAAGCUCAUCAAGUGACGGUAACUACCCAGAAAGGGACGGCUAACUACGUG
rnacentral:rRNA from 1 species